rnacentral:lncRNA from 1 species
UCCUGAAGCUAUAAUAACUAUUUUUUGUGCACUUGAUGCCUUAAUUGUUGACUUUGGAGGUCCUGAAGCCCUUGGUCCUGAAAUUUCAUGAAUUGCUUUUGGUGGUCCUGAAGCUAUAAUAACUGUUUUUGAUCCACUUGAUGCCUUAAUUGUUGACUUCGGAGGUCCGGAAGCCCUUGGUCCUGAAAUUUCAUGAAUUGAUUUUGGUGGUCCUGAAGCUAUAAUAACUGUUUUUGAUCCACUUGAUGCCUUAAUUGUUGACUUCGGAGGUCCUGAAGCCCUUGGUCCUGAAAUUUCAUGAAUUGAUUUUGGUGGUCCUGAAGCUAUAAUAACUGUUUUUGAUCCACUUGAUGCCUUAAUUGUUGACUUCGGAGGUCCUGAAACCCUUGGUCCUGAAAUUUCAUGAAUUGCUUUUGGUGGUCCUAAAGCUAUAAUAACUGUUUUUGAUCCACUUGAUGCCUUAAUUGUUGACUUCGGAGGUCCUGAAGCCCUUGGUCCUGAAAUUUCAUGAAUUGAUUUUGGUGGUCCUGAAGCUAUAAUAACUGUUUUUGAUCCACUUGAUUCCUUAAUUGUUGACUUCGGAGGUCCUGAAGCCCUUGGUCCUGAAAUUUCAUGAAUUGAUUUUGGUGGUCCUGAAGCUAUAAUAACUGUUUUUUGUGCACAAGAUGGUGGUUUUGGACCUGCAGUUGCAUGAGAUGGUGGUUUUGGACCUGCAGUUACAUCAGAAGAUCUUGGAGGCCCUGAGGUUGUGACCUCUACCUCUGAAGCUGCAACUGCAACUACCAGAACAAUUAGCAAAGCUAAAAAAGCUACAAACACGUUCUUCAUUUUCAA